UCUGGGACCUGCGAUGUUAGGGAAAGAAGAUUGGGGGGGAAGAUGAUGGAGUGGCUUUUGGCUGGACUUUUCUUGUAAGCCAUUGACUGAACCAGUUUCUCCUGCAACAGAGACUGCAUCUUUAGGGGAAUGCAAUGGCCUGCUCUGCUCUGUUCCUUACUGCAUCUCACAGCACUUAUUUGGGAAGCUGGAUUUCCAUGGGGACACAGGCAUUGUGCCAGCAUCAAAACAUGACAUGAUGGUACAUGAAGGAUCAGGAUUUUCUGUUAAGGAUUCGGUUUGGGUCCCUGCAGAAAGGAAAGAUUUUGCAGAAAGCUCAGCAGCUCUCAGAGGAUGAGCACCCACAGGCAGUGACCGGGGCUGCAGGAGUGGCACAAGAAGGCCCUGCAGCACUUGGGCACAAAGGCACAGCAGCUGAAGGCAAGGAGGGAUGAGCAAAAGGCCAAGCUGAAGGCAAAGGCCAUGGCAGAGUUCCCACAGCCCCUGAGGGACCAACCCCAGGGCCCAAGGGGGCCCCAGCACCCAGGGGACGGCGUCGGCCACAAGCACCUGGCAGAGGCAUUGCCCUCCUGGCCAGGGCAGAGCCCACCCAAACAGCCCCUGGGAAGGAGUCAGGGCUCCAGCUGCAGCCCACAAGGACACUGCAAGCACAGACAGCAGCACCCUCAGGAGGAGCGAGUCCACCCCUGCAUGGACAUGGAUUGUCAGGGCUCUCUGAGCUCCCAUCCCACCGGGGACCCACCACACUGCAGCCCUGGAGAACAUCCAGGCUGCGUCUGCAUCCAGAGGAGGCCUCUCCUGAUGGACACAGGGGCCUCUCCAUCCACUCUGAAUCUUACACCUAAGGGGGGAAAAUUGUAAAGGAAUGUUUUCAUUAUUAAGGGAAUAAAUGGGAAAGCUGA